rnacentral:rRNA from 1 species
AUUAGAGUUUGAUCCUGGCUCAGAUUGAACGCUGGCGGCAUGCUUUACACAUGCAAGUCGAACGGUAACAGGGAGCUUGCUCCGCUGACGAGUGGCGAACGGGUGAGUAAUGCAUCGGAACGUACCCAGUCGUGGGGGAUAACGUAGCGAAAGUUACGCUAAUACCGCAUACGUCCUGAGGGAGAAAGCGGGGGACCGUAAGGCCUCGCGCGAUUGGAGCGGCCGAUGUCGGAUUAGCUAGUUGGUAGGGUAAAGGCUUACCAAGGCGACGAUCCGUAGCGGGUCUGAGAGGAUGAUCCGCCACACUGGGACUGAGACACGGCCCAGACUCCUACGGGAGGCAGCAGUGGGGAAUUUUGGACAAUGGGCGAAAGCCUGAUCCAGCCAUGCCGCGUGAGUGAAGAAGGCCUUCGGGUUGUAAAGCUCUUUCAGCCGGGAAGAAAACGCAUGGGUUAAUACCCUGUGUGGAUGACGGUACCGGAAUAAGAAGCACCGGCUAACUACGUGCCAGCAGCCGCGGUAAUAAU